rnacentral:rRNA from 1 species
UACGUAGGGUGCAAGCGUUAAUCGGAAUUACUGGGCGUAAAGCGUGCGCAGGCGGUGAUGUAAGACAGAUGUGAAAGCCCCCCGGCUCAACUGGGGAGGGUCACGCGAUACUGAUCGACUCGAAGGCAGGAGAGGGUAGUGGAAAUUCCCGGUGUAGUGGUGAAAUGCGUAGAUAUCGGGAGGAACACCAGUGGCGAAGGCGACUACCUGGCCUGUUCUUGACGCUGAGGCGCGAAAGCUAGGGGAGCAACGGG